rnacentral:rRNA from 1 species
CUUUCUGCUAGGGGUGGCCUGCGGAGGAAUUGUUACUGAGGGUCGGCUCUACAACCCUUUGUGAACAUACCUAUAACUGUUGCUUCGGCGGGUAGGGUCUCCGUGACCCUCCCGGCCUCCCGCCCCCGGGCGGGUCGGCGCCCGCCGGAGGAUAACCAAACUCUGAUUUAACGACGUUUCUUCUGAGUGGUACAAGCAAAUAAUCAAAACUUUUAACAACGGAUCUCUUGGUUCUGGCAUCGAUGAAGAACGCAGCGAAAUGCGAUAAGUAAUGUGAAUUGCAGAAUUCAGUGAAUCAUCGAAUCUUUGAACGCACAUUGCGCCCGCCAGCAUUCUGGCGGGCAUGCCUGUUCGAGCGUCAUUUCAACCCUCAAGCUCUGCUUGGUGUUGGGGCCCUACAGCUGAUGUAGGCCCUCAAAGGUAGUGGCGGACCCUCCCGGAGCCUCCUUUGCGUAGUAACUUUACGUCUCGCACUGGGAUCCGGAGGGACUCUUGCCGUAAAACCCCCCAAUUUUCCAAAGGUUGACCUCGGAUCAGGUAGGAAUACCCGCUGAACUUAAGCAUAUCAAACCGGGGGAGGAA